rnacentral:rRNA from 1 species
CCUACGGGUGGCAGCAGUGAGGAAUAUUGGUCAAUGGGCGGGAGCCUGAACCAGCCAAGUCGCGUGAGGGAAGAAGGUACUGAGUAUUGUAAACCUCUUUUGCCAGGGGACAAAGUCGCCCACGGGUGGGCGUAAGAGGGUACCUGGAGAAAAAGCAUCGGCUAACUCCGUGCCAGCAGCCGCGGUAAUACGGAGGAUGCGAGCGUUAUCCGGAUUUAUUGGGUUUAAAGGGUGCGUAGGCGGCGUGUCAAGUCAGCGGUGAAAGUCUGUGGCUCAACCAUAGUAAAGCCGUUGAAACUGGGGGGCUUGAGUAGGUGAGAGGCAGGCGGAAUGCGUGGUGUAGCGGUGAAAUGCUUAGAUAUCACGCAGAACCCCGAUUGCGAAGGCAGCCUGCCGAGCCAUGACUGACGCUGAUGCACGAAAGCGUGGGGAUCGAACAGGAUUAGAUACCCUAGUAGUC